rnacentral:rRNA from 1 species
GACGAACGCUGGCGGCGUGCUUAACACAUGCAAGUCGAACGAUGAAGCCGGAGCUUGCUCUGGUGAAUUAGUGGCGAACGGGUGAGUAACACGUGAGUAACCUGCCCUUGACUCUGGGAUAACUGCGGGAAACUGUAGCUAAUACCGGAUACGACCCUCGGAGGCAUCUCCUGGGGGUGGAAAGAAUUUCGGUCAAGGAUGGACUCGCGGCCUAUCAGCUAGUUGGUGAGGUAACGGGUCAGCAAGGCGACGACGGGUAGGCGGCCUGAGAGGGUGACCGGCCACACUGGGACUGAGACACGGCCCAGACUCCUACGGGAGGCAGCAGUGGGGAAUAUUGCACAAUGGGCGCAAGCCUGAUGCAGCAACGCCGCGUGAGGGAUGACGGUCUUCGGGUUGUAAACCUCUUUUAGCAGGGAAGAAGCGAGAGUGACGGUACCUGCAGAAAAAGCACCGGCUAACUACGUGCCAGCAGCCGCCGUAA